ACUUGGUGAUGUGGGCAUUUGUUCAAAAGGUCCCUAAAGCGCUCCCAUGUCUCGAAAAAAUAGUUUCUCAUCCAAUUUUGAGAAACUAGUGAUUGACUUCCUCACCU